rnacentral:rRNA from 1 species
ACGGUCCAGACUCCUACGGGAGGCAGCAGUGGGGAAUAUUGCACAAUGGGGGAAACCCUGAUGCAGCAACGCCGCGUGAGUGAUGACGGUCUUCGGAUUGUAAAGCUCUGUCUUUAGGGACGAUAAUGACGGUACCUAAGGAGGAAGCCACGGCUAACUACGUGCCAGCAGCCGCGGUAA